GCCGCGCGGGUUCUCAGGUGAGCGCUCCGUGGCCGGGGCGGGCCGGCCGGCGCCUUGGGCUCGGGCACGGGAUCCGCGCGGUCUCUGUGGGCGUGGGCGGGGCGUCCGGAGGAGGCGCGCGGACCGCGGCCACGGUCCGGCCCUCGGAACCCCGGCCUCAAGCGGGAAGGGGCUCCGGAGCUGCGGGGAGGCAAGAUGAUUUCUCUCCCCCAGGCUUGGAACAGCUGAAGGAAACAACAGUACAAGAUGAGAACAACAAAGGUCUACAAACUCGUCAUCCACAAGAAGGGCUUUGGGGGCAGUGAUGAUGAGCUAGUUGUGAACCCCAAAGUAUUUCCUCACAUCAGGCUUGGAGACAUUGUGGAGAUUGCUCACCCCAACGAUGAGCACAGCCCUCUGCUUUUGCAGGUCAAGUCACUUAAGGAGGAUUUGCAGAAAGAAACUGUCAGUGUGGACCAGACUGUGACUCAAGUGUUCCGGCUAAGACCUUAUCAAGAUGUAUAUGUGAAUGUCGUAGACCCUAAGGAUGUGACCCUUGACCUAGUGGAAUUAACCUUUAAGGAUCAAUAUAUUGGCCGUGGGGAUAUGUGGCGACUAAAGAAAAGUUUGGUCAGCACAUGUGCCUACAUCACUCAAAAGGUGGAAUUUGCUGGCAUCAGGGCGCAGGCCGGGGAGCUGUGGGUCAAGAAUGAGAAGGUCAUGUGUGGUUAUAUCAGCGAAGAUACCAGGGUGGUAUUCCGUUCUACGUCGGCUAUGGUUUACAUAUUUAUUCAGAUGAGCUGUGAAAUGUGGGAUUUUGAUAUUUAUGGGGAUCUGUAUUUUGAGAAAGCUGUGAAUGGUUUCCUUGCUGAUCUCUUUACCAAGUGGAAGGAGAAGAACUGCAGUCAUGAAGUGACAGUGGUCCUGUUUUCUAGGACUUUCUAUGAUGCAAAAUCUCUUGAUGAAUUUCCUGAAAUAAACCGAGCCUCGAUUAGGCAGGAUCACAAGGGAAGAUUCUAUGAAGACUUCUAUAAGGUGGUGGUGCAGAACGAGAGAAGAGAAGAGUGGACCUCCCUCCUUGUGACAAUUAAAAAGCUCUUCAUCCAGUAUCCGGUGCUGGUGCGCCUGGAACAGGCAGGUUUCUAUUUCAGGUUGGGUCCCUCUGGUCAUUGCACAUGCAAGGGCUUUCCUCAAGGAGACAAUUCUACCUCAGCACAAGGAAACUACCUAGAGGCCAUCAACCUGUCAUUCAAUGUGUUUGACAAGCACUACAUCAACCGCAACUUUGACCGCACUGGGCAGAUGUCUGUGGUGAUCACGCCCGGGGUAGGUGUGUUCGAAGUGGACCGGCUCCUCAUGAUCCUGACCAAGCAGCGGAUGAUAGACAACGGAAUUGGUGUGGACUUGGUGUGCAUGGGGGAGCAGCCGCUGCACGCUGUCCCGUUGUUCAAGCUGCACAAUCGGGGCGGCCCUCGUGACUCCCGCCUGGGUGACGACUACAAUAUCCCUCACUGGAUAAACCACAGUUUCUACACAUCCAAAAGCCAGCUCUUCUGUAAUAGUUUCACCCCACGAAUAAAACUGGCAGGAAAGAAGCCUGCCUCUGAGAAAGCAAAAAAUGGCCGUGAUACGUCUCUGGGGACGCCCAAAGAAGCUGAGAACGCCCUUCCCAUCCAAGUGGAUUAUGAAGCCUACGACGCCCGAGUCUUCAGGCUGCCAGGCCCAUCCCGGGCUCAGCGCCUCGCCACCUGCAGGUCUGUGCGAGAGCGGGAGAGCCACAGUCGGAAGAGCGCCAGCUCCUGCGAUGUCUCAUCCAGCCCCUCCCUGCCUGGCCAGGCGCUGCCCGCGGAGGAGGUGAGGAGCCAGGCUUCCGACGACAGCUCGCUGGGCAGGAGUGCCAACAUCCUCAUGAUCCCUCACCCCCACCUGCACCAGUAUGAAGUCAGCAGCUCCUUGGGCUACACCAGCACUCGAGACGUCCUGGAGAACAUGAUAGAGCCACCGCAGCGGGACUCCAGCGCGCCGGGGAGGUUCCACGUGGGCAGUGCCGAGUCCAUGAUGCAUGUUCGGCCGGGGGGGUACAUGCCCCAGCGGGCGCUGAUCAACCCCUUCGCGCCCUCGCGGAUGCCCAUGAAGCUCACGUCCAACAGGAGGCGCUGGAUGCACACUUUUCCUGUGGGACCAUCCGGAGAGGCCAUCCAGAUCCACCACCAGACCCGACAGAACAUGGCGGAGCUGCAGGGCAGGAGGCAGCGGGACCCGACCCACUCCUCCGCGGAGCUGCUGGAGCUGGCCUACCACGAAGCCGCUGGAAGGCACAGCGCUUCCCGCCAGCCCGGUGACGGCGCAUCCUUCCUGAACUUCACUGGAACAGAAGAGCUUUCUGUCAGCCUGCUCAACAGCAGCGGUGCAGGCGUGAAUCCCAGGACCCAGAAUAAGGAUUCUCUAGAGGACGGUGUUUCUACCUCUCCAGACCCAAUUCUGACGCUGUCUGCUCCUCCUGUAGUGCCAGGCUUCUGUUGCACAGUUGGCGUGGACUGGAAGUCUCUCACGACUCCGGCGUGCCUCCCCCUCACCACGGACUACUUCCCCGACCGCCAGGGCCUGCAGAACGACUACACGGAGGGCUGCUACGACCUCCUCCCAGAGGCCGACAUCGACAGGAGGGACGAGGAGGGCGUGCAGAUGACGGCCCAGCAGGUGUUUGAGGAGUUCGUGUGCCAGCGGCUCAUGCAGGGCUACCAGAUCAUCGUGCAGCCCAGGGCGCAGCAGCCCAGCCCCGCCGCGCCGCCCCCGCUCAGCAGCAGCCCGCUCUACAGCCGGGGCCUUGUGUCCCGAAACCGUCCCGAGGAGGAAGACCAGUACUGGCUCAGUAUGGGCAGGACUUUCCACAAAGUCACACUGAAGGAUAAGAUGAUCACAGUGACACGCUACCUUCCCAAGUACCCUUACGAAUCUGCCCAGAUCCACUACACCUACAGCCUCUGCCCCUCCCACUCAGACUCGGAGUUCGUGUCCUGCUGGGUGGAGUUCUCGCACGAGCGGCUGGAGGAGUACAAGUGGAAUUACUUAGACCAGUACAUCUGCUCUGCCGGCUCCGAGGACUUCAGCUUAAUCGAGUCUCUGAAGUUCUGGAGGACCCGCUUCCUGCUGCUGCCGGCCUGUGUCACCGCCACCAAGCGCAUCACGGAGGGGGAGGCCCACUGCGACAUCUACGGGGACAGGCCCCGGGCGGACGAGGAGGAGUGGCAGCUCCUGGACGGCUUCAUCCGCUUCGUGGAGGGCCUGAACCGCAUCCGCCGGCGGCACCGCUCCGACCGCAUGAUGCGGAAAGGGGCCACCAUGAAAGGCUUGCAGGUGGCUGGGCCCGUCCCCACCCACUCCCUCGAGUCCACCGGCCCCCCUGUGGGGAAGAAGGGAACCUCAGCUCUGUCUGCCCUGCUGGAGAUGGAGGCCACUCAGAAGUGCCUGGGAGAACAGCAGGCGGCGGCCCACGGGAGCAAGAGCUCAGCCGCCCCGGCCGAGAGCAGCGGCGUUGCCAUGACCCCCACCUACGUGGACAGCCCACGAAAGGUGUCUCUGGACCAGACGGCCGCCCCGGUGUUGGACGGCUGCAGCCUGGGGGUGAGCGCAGGCCAGUCCGUGGACAGAGGCAACAGCCAGACCUCUGGGAACUCACAGAGCUCGGGAGAACAAGCCUUCCCCUCUGCAAACUCCAGUGACAGCAGCUCUCAGCAGCUGACGGCCAGCUCCUUGACGUCCUCCUCCACCCUGGUGGAGAUCCUGGAGGCCAUGAAGCACCCCUCGACAGGAGUGCAGCUGCUCCCGGAGCAGAAGGGCCUGUCGCCGUGCUGCUUCAUCAGCGCGGAGGUGGUGCACUGGCUGGUGAACAGCGUGGAGGGGGUGCAGACGCAGGCCAUGGCCAUCGACAUCAUGCAGAAAAUGCUGGAAGAGCAGCUCAUCACACACGCCUCUGGGGAGGUCUGGCGGACCUUCAUCUACGGCUUCUAUUUCUACAAGAUCGUGAUGGACAGAGAGCCUGAGCGAGUGGCCGUGCAGCAGCCCACCACCUGGCACACGACGGUGGUGGACGACUUCGCCAGCUUCCAGCGCAAGUGGUUCGAGGUGGCCUUCGUGGCCGAGGAGCUCGUGCACUCGGAGAUCCCUGCCUUCCUGCUGCCCUGGCUGCCCAGCCGGCCGGCCUCCUACGCCAGCAGGCACAGCUCCUUCAGCCGCAGCUUCGGGGGCCGGAGCCAGGCGGCUGCGCUCUUAGCCGCCACUGUCCCGGAGCAGAGGACCGUGACCCUGGACGUGGACGUGAACAACCGCACGGACCGACUGGAGUGGUGCAGCUGUUACUACCACGGCAACUUCUCGCUGAACGCAGCCUUCGAGAUCAAGCUGCACUGGAUGGCGGUGACCGCCGCGGUGCUCUUCGAGAUGGUCCAAGGGUGGCAUCGCAAGGCCACCUCCUGUGGCUUUCUGUUGGUGCCGGUUUUGGAGGGCCCCUUUGCGCUGCCCAGUUACCUGUAUGGCGACCCGCUCCGGGCCCAGCUCUUCAUCCCGCUCAGCGUCAGCUGCCUGCUCAAGGAGGGCAGCGAGCACCUGUUUGACAGCUUUGAACCAGAAACAUACUGGGACCGAAUGCACCUUUUCCAGGAAGCCAUCGCGCACAGGUUUGGGUUUGUUCAAGAUAAAUACUCUGCCUCUGCUUUCAACUUCCCUGCUGAGAACAAGCCUCAGUACAUCCACGUCACAGGGACGGUGUUCCUGCAGCUGCCCUACUCCAAGCGCAAGUUCUCCGGGCAGCCGCGGCGGCGCCGCAACUCCACCAGCUCCGCCAGCCAGAGCCUGUUCUGCGAGGAGCGGGUGGGCUACACCUGGGCCUACAACACCAUGCUGACCAAGACCUGGCGCUCCAGCGCCACUGGCGACGAGAGGUUCGCCGACCGGCUGCUGACGGACUUCACGGACUUCUGCGCCAACCGCGACAACCGGCUGGCGGCCUUCUGGACCCGCUGCCUGGAGAAGAUGCACGCCAGCGCCCCAGCAGAAGCAGGAAUAAAGUGCCCGGUGUGGCAGCCACCCCGUCCUCUGCUGAACAGCCGUGCCCCCUUGCUGGGGUCCCGGAGGCCGAUGAGGCGGCCACAGACACUGGGGAGGACUCCAGAGUUCACGUGGGGGUUUGGCUGCAAGUUUACUGAAAGGUGCAGGUGUGGCUGCUGCCUGUGGAGAUUUUGAAAGAAUAGCAUCAGCGUCCUUCAUUUAUAAAGAGGGAGGCUGUCUCCCAGGGAGGUUGAUGGAUCUAAAGACAGAUGUACCUGAAAGGACUGACUGACUCGCAGGCAGUACACAAAUGCAGGCUGCCCACCCUCACAGGCCGGGAGUCCUCUUCCUGCACUUGUGAGCCAGCCUCCUGGGUCAUGGUGUGGACACAGCAGCUGCUGGCCCAUUCAGCAGCCACCGAACUGGUCCUCUUGCAUCCUCCUUUGCCUUGAAGAAUCUACUCUCCUCACAGCAACCAACAUGCUGUCUUUCAAACACAGAACAGGCUGCAUCCUUCCCCUGCUUGAAAACCCUCCAGUGACUUCCCAUCAAUUUGGGGUGAAAUCCCAACUCCUUGCCCUAUGGAGCCUGGGCUUCUGGAAGCCUCCGUCUCUGUUUUCACCUCCUGUUGCUCGCUCUGAAUGACGCAGGGUCUCCUCUUUCUGGUCCGUGGAUGCCCCAAGGUUACCCCUGCCUCGGGGCCUUCUUGACUCGCCCGUCCCAAGAUCGUGGCUCCAUUGCUUUCUCACUGUUGGUGUCACUUGUCACCCUGCCUGACUCCUCUGCCUAGAGAAGCACCACCCCUCUGCCCGGCACUGCCUGUCACACGGCCCUGUUAUCUCCCCCACGCAGCCCUUGUCACCACCCGAGACCAUCUGCACCACUGGCCCACAUGUGUGUCGUCUUCUCUCCUCUCUGGAACGUAAGUUCCGGGACUGUUUCUCGUCCCUGCUGCAUCCCCAGUACUUAACAACAGCGGUGUGCCUGGCAUGCAGUAGGUGCCCAAUGAGAGCUCGUUCACAGAACCAACCAACAAGGGUUCAUCCCAGGUUGCUGUCCCGACUCUCCUGUAGAGCAGCACCUCCCUGUCCUAUGACUUCAAGACAGUAAUUUCUUUAAGUGCUCAGAGGUCGCUCACUUACCUGCCCGCUCUACCACCUACAAAGGGCGUGACCUUGGGCGCGUUACUUCAUCUCUCUGUGCCUCAGUUUUGUCAGCUGCAAAGUGGGGAUAAUAACAGUACCCGCCUCAUGGGGUGAAGGUGAGGACCAUAUUAAUGUAGGAAGAGGCGUAAUGCAGCGCAUGGGACCCAGCGUUCAGUACCGUUCGCUCUGCUGCCGUGAUCACUGCCAUCACCACCACCAGGCUGACCAGUGUUUCCUUUCUGCCUUCAAGUAAUAGCACUUACCGGCCACUUUGCCUGCUUGGUACCCUACAGUGGCUUCCUAUUCCACUUGGGAAGAGACCCAGCCCCUGGAAGCAGCCUGGCAGCCCCACCUCCCUCUCCAGCCUCACCGUGCACGACUGCCCCCCUUGCUCGAUCCCCUGCAGUCACACGGGCCUCCUGUUGGUUCUCAGUGCGAUUCGUGCUUGUCCCACGCCAGACACCGGGCCUGGGAUGACCUCUCCCUCCUCCUGCCCCUGGUUGAUGCCUCCUGAGUGCGGUCACGGCCUCUCCACCUCCCUGCGCGCCCCCAGGCACAGUGAGCCUGCGCUGCAGCCCUUGUCACAGCUGUGAGCGGGCACUCACUCCACCCCUGGGUCGAUGCUGCCUUUCCUAUGAGAGCCUAAGCUCCACGAGAACAGAGACCCAGUCGUCCUUUGCUCCACCUUUGUACUCACUGUGUUUGCACGUGGUAGGUGUUCAGUAAAUAUUAAGUGACGGAGUGGGGAGAGAGCCUUUGGAUUGGGCACACAACUGCCCCAAGAGAAAAUCUGCUGUCUUUGCAGAACCAACUGGCCUUUCUCACCGGCCUCUGGCCACGGAGCCAGAACUGCACUCCUGAUUUCCAGGCGGGUCCGCCUGCUCGCAACGUGGCCUGGGGCAGCCCCUGCUUGCGUGCUGCCUUCCUUCACAUG